CAGCCGCCGCGGUAAUACGAAGGGUGCAAGCGUUAAUCGGAAUUACUGGGCGUAAAGCGUGCGUAGGCGGUUUGUUAAGUCUGCUGUGAAAUCCCCGGGCUCAACCUGGGAAUGGCAGUGGAUACUGGCAAGCUAGAGUGUGUCAGAGGAUGGUGGAAUUCCCGGUGUAGCGGUGAAAUGCGUAGAGAUCGGGAGGAACAUCAGUGGCGAAGGCGGCCAUCUGGGACAACACUGACGCUGAGGCACGAAAGCGUGGGGAGCAAACAGGAUUAGAUACCCGGGUAGUCCCUGUCUCUUAUAC
rnacentral:rRNA from 1 species